AAAGCGGGUCCACAGAAGGUCUGGCGAACCAUUUGUCACUGCAGGCCUAAGUUUCUCGUAACCUUUUCAUUCGCUUUAGAGGUACCGCCUAUAUUAUUACAUGACAUGAUUACUACUACGUCAAAGAAUGAAGAGUCUCGCAAACCCGCCGAAGAGGGAAGAUCCACGUGGCCGUCUCGGCCAUCUUGAAAACGUGUCUGUGAAAUCGUUCACCAAUAUCUCAAUUUACUUCACGAAAAUUCCUAGUUCAACAGAAACAACAUCAUUGAAUUGAUGAGCUCCUGCGUCCUGAUGCCCUAUACAUGUACAGAGACUGCCGCUUCUCAGCUCAACUAAGAAAACUUGAUAAUUGACGCCAAAGAACUUGUUCACGUGCUCUAUCCAGCCCAUUCUCCAUACGAUGGCGACUCGAUUUCAGUUCUUCAGUUAAUCUGUAACUUCAUUUAAUCUGUAUGAU